GCUGAUGUCUGCGGUUACUGGUUGGGAAGAAAAAUCUAUAGCAGAAUUAGUCCAAUGGUAUUUCCUGAUGCUGUGGGGUGAAAGGCUUCAAACAAUUGGAUGCUGAAGAAGAGUUGCUGCUGAAUUCCUUUAUGUAAUUUAACCAGUUUUCAGUGCUUGCUUUUGGUCUUGAUUUUUUUUUUUUCUUUUCACUUUUGUUUUGUUUUGUUUUGUAGGCAAUGUUGCACUCUCCUGGGAUUCUCUUUUUCUUGAAGUGAAUUUUCACAACAUGUAGGUAUCUGUAAAGUCACAGCCUGUUACACUCCAAAUAUUUGCUCUUUAUCCAUGUCUUUUUCACAAAUGAAAUUGUUAACAUCUUCACAGUAGAAGUCAUUCCAGAGCCCAGCGUAGAUUAAGCCAGCACAAUCUUCUCCUGGCCCGUGCCCAUGAUUCCAGUUAUCAGGUUGCCCGGUUUUCCAGUUUGUGUAAAGUGGUAAGGAUCCAUCCAGCCACCUCCAUUCAUUUUCCUUCUCUGAAUCUGUAAGUCCAAUCCAGAAGCUGCCUUUCCCCGAAAUCUGCCUCUUUAUCCAUUGCUGUUCUUCUUUGUUGUUUAUGAUAACCAAGCGCGAUGCCUUCUCUUCACAGAAUAACUUUGCCUCUUCAAAAAUUUCUCUUUCAAUUGAGAAGUAGUAGCAUUUUUCUGUGUAGUUCUUCCAAUGAGGAGAACAACCGUUAGCCUCAGGCACCGAUGUAGGUUCGCUCUGUAGUGCCAUUGGCAUCCCUGGACCUGGUGGUCCUGGUGGGCCAGGUGGGCCCUUUGGACCAGGCAGCCCAGGGACUCCAGGUAGUCCAGGUAGUCCUCGAGGUCCUGGUACGCCUGGCUCUCCCACAGUUCCUUGCAGGCCUUGAAAUCCUGGUGGGCCUUGUGGCCCCUGUGGACCAUCUUUGCCUUGUGGCCCUGGUGGCCCUGGGUCUCCGCUUGGUCCAGGAAGACCCGUUUUGCCAGGAGAACCUCUUUGACCUUUGGAGCCUGGUGAUCCUCUUGAGCCUUUCCCUCCUUUCUCUCCUGGUGGCCCAAUUGGCCCAGGUGGGCCCUUUUCACCUGCAGGUCCUGGUGGUCCAGGCUCUCCUUUCUCUCCUUUUUGUCCUUUUAGGCCAGCAGGGCCAAGAGGACCUUGAGGGCCUCUGUCACCUUUAGGUCCCCUUGGACCAGGAGGGCCUUGUAGGAUAGUGAAGUUCUUGAUGAGCUGACCGUGUUUGGAAUCUACCAGCUUCAUUUCUUCCAUGAUUACUGACAAAUUGGCAACUUCAACAUCUAACCUUGACCUCAUCAAAUCCUGCUGCAUCUUGAGUGAUGCAGAGUCUAAACGAAUAUUGGCUAGUGUGCUGUUCAUAAAAAUCAGCUCAUCUGAAUGUUUACUUAAGGUGUCCGUACAAGUUGUCCUGACCUCAUUGAGAUUGCUAGUCAAUGUCCGUAGAUGAUGAGCAGUGUAGCUGAUGUUGCUAAUUAUAUUGACUAUAUCAGUCUCAAAAACCUGGAACCUCUCUUCUAGUUGGUUGAAUUUGGCAGAAGUUCUGUUUUCAUAUUCUUUAUGCUGUUCCUGGAGAUCCUUCAGAUUUUGUUCGUUGGCUUGGGCAAUUGUGCUGAUAUUCUCCAUUUGCCCACUGAAGGAGCUGAGCUGAUUGUUCAUGUCUUCAAGUGUAUCAUUAUUAGCUUUUGCUAAUGCUGAGUUGUUGGCAGCCAAAGUCUGUAAAUUCUGUACUUUUUCCUUAAGCCAGUCAGUGUCCUUCCGGGCUUGAAGAACAACCUGCUGCAGGUUUUGAAAAUCAUUCUUGAUUCUUAGAAUAGCCAAACUUUUAUCUUCCAUAGACUUCUGCAGGACACUGAUAAGAUUUCUUUGCUGUAUUUGUGUCAAGUUUAAGUUGUUAAGGUUCAUGAUGACCACAUUAUGAGAAUGCACUUGGUUUUGCAAAUCUGAUUGGAUAUUACUUGUGUCUUGUUGAAGAUUGUUUAUAUAGCCAGUAUAUGCCUGAAGAGUCUUAUUGACACUGAUGAUCAUGAAAGAGUUACUAUCUAAGGCGCUUCUCAUUUGGCUCUGUCUGUCAUCUAGUACAUUUCCAGAUUCUUGGAGCUUCUCCAGUGUAUCUUUAUUUCUGGUAGUUUUCUCUGCAAUGUCAUGAAGCUGCUGACGAAGAGCCAGAAUGUCAGAUCUGAAGCUAGACAGCUCAGUGUUAGUAUUCAAGGCUUUCUGUCCAGCUUGGUCAUCUAAUUUCUUCAGAUCACUCUCCACCUCUGUGAGCUUUUCUGUAUAUCUUCUAUGGGACGUUUCCAGGCCACCUGUCACAUUGUCCAUUUUUUCUACAACUUUGUAUCCCAGAAUGGCUAUGGUAAUUGUUAACAGGACACACAGAAUGUAUAGUAAGAUGAUAGAAAACUUCAGUGCCCAGUUAUUUUUACACUUGGUACAUUGAGUCCCCUCCUGAAUACCAAACCUCUUGUAGCCAAAGGACUGCACCUCCUCCUCUUCUGCAAAAUCGUCUUUCAUCUUGGCGCCGGGGCGGCUCGGAUAGGACGCACGGGGCGCGGCGGGGGCUGGCUGCCUACUGUCGGGCCAUGCCGGGGGCCGGCCGCGCCCUGCCCGCUGCCGCUGCCCCUGCCGCUGCCGCUGCCGCCCGCCGCGGCUCCUCUCGCCGCCAGCACCGAGCGGCCCGGCCCGGCCCCGCCGAGCAGCGGCCCGGCCCCGCCUCCCUCCCUCCGCCCCGGGGAAGGGGCCGCGGCCGGGGCCGGGCCGUGGGGGCGGGCUCGGGGCCCCGCCUGAGGCUGGGAUGGCGGCGGGACGGGAUGGGGCUCGCUCGUCGCCCGUCGGUGAUGAGCAGGCAUCCCGGAUGGGAUGCGGUGUCCCUCCUUGACCUCCCUGCGCGUUUUGGCCUCCUAAGUGCCCGAAUGCCUCGUUGGUACCGAAGUGAGAAAUCCCGAACCGCGGGUGCGUACCCAUCAGGUGGGACGUGCGGCGCUCAGCCUCAAACCAUCCUACUGGAUUCAAAGGGAUCCCGCUCAGUGCGUGGCCUGAAGAAUAUGUGUAAAUAUUUGUGGGAUUAGGGAUGUACAGGCUGGUUGUCUUUUAUUUCUCUCCUUCUGGAUGUUGCCAGGAAUAAUGCAGCAUUUCCAGGCUCCCGUUUUCUUGAAAGGCGCACAAAGAUUUGCUGCAAACCUGCCCUUACUUUGGCAAUUGAAGGUGGCAAUACAGGUUUGUGAUCCCGCUCUAAUCCGUAACAUCAGUGCUGAUGAAGGAGAGCUCAUGCACCGUAUGCCACUUCAUUCUUGGGAUGAGCAAAGCAGUGCAGGCGCCAGAGAGGCUUUCCCACUGCAGAAAGGAGACGUGCGUGAUUUGGCCUCUGCAGUGCAGCUGGAGGUAUCCCAUCCUGCUGCAUGGGGCGAUGCUGAAAGAAGGGAUGGUGCUAUACGGUCUUUUCAGCCAUUUAGUGGCUCUGAUGGGAUCACAGCAUCCCAGCAGAGUAGUAGUGCGAUAUCACGGCAUUGGUUUAACACCAGGUCAAAAAGUACUAUAAACCUAUCGGGUAGGGUCUCUCCUGAGCAAGGAAUGGGGGAGUAUAUUCAUCAAAUGUAACCAGCGCAGAACAAAAAUUAAAGCCAGGAUUUAGAAAUCUGAAUUCCUUCGUUUCUUUCUGAUUGGGUUAGCAACCUCUUGAGCAAGUUUUUCACUACUCAUUCUCUUCCAGCUCACUACCACCAAAGAUGCCUGCACACCAGCUGCAGGAGCCAUUUGCUACUUUAAAGCAGGGCUCAGGUAUCAAAGAGACAUGACUCAGCUUUUCACUGACACUCCAGCAGUUGACUGGAAUAUCCGUUUUUGGUGCAAGCCAUGAAUAAAACUACUAAAUCUGAGUAAAGUCAUCAGGUAAUUGAGGAAGUCCUGCAGUAGAGUGUUGGAUUAAACCAACAGCACUCACAAUAUUUAUAGAACUGACUAAUACUUGGUCAGUUCUACCAUUCAUUUUGGAUCCUAAGUCAACUUACAGUUUUCUUGAAGAAUCAAUAUUGUUCAGUUUCCCAAACUAAAAACCUACCCUGAAUCUGAUCCAAAGCCCGUGGAUACAUACCCAAGAUACAUAUUUCUUCUUCCAAGAAGAAAUCUUUUCAUUAAUUAUCAUGCACUGAAUGAAGAACAGUAAUGAAACCCCACUUCUCUAGAGGAAAACUAUCCGAGCUUUCCUCUACACUAUACAGUGCUGAAGGAAUGCAAAGAAAGAAUUACCAAAAUCUACGAUAUCACAAGAUGCACAAGGAGCAGGAGUGGGUAGGAAUUUAGAAAAUUCACCAGAAGCAGUUGCUGAUAACGCUUUCAACUCUUCGGAGAGUAACCUUAGUGAACUGGCAGAUAGCAACCAAACAGUGAAGAGACCUAUGGGUCUGUGUCUUAUGAACUGCUGUAUCAGGGAGAGAUGUACUCCUUACUUGUCGAAAGAAAAAAUGAUGGAUAUUUAGAAUCCAUAAGAAAGUAUGAUUAAUA
rnacentral:lncRNA from 1 species